GACGAACGCUGGCGGCGUGCUUAACACAUGCAAGUCGAACGGUAAGGCCCUUCGGGGUACACGAGUGGCGAACGGGUGAGUAACACGUGGGUGAUCUGCCCUGCACUUCGGGAUAAGCCUGGGAAACUGGGUCUAAUACCGGAUAGGACCAUUGCCUGCAUGGGUGGUGGUGGAAAGCUUUUGCGGUGUGGGAGGGGCCCGCGGCCUAUCAGCUUGUUGGUGGGGCGAUGGCCUACCAAGGCGACGACGGGUAGCCGGCCUGAGAGGGUGACCGGCCACACUGGGACUGAGAUACUGCCCAGACUCCUACGGGAGGCAGCGGUGGGGAAUAUUGCACAAUGGGCGCAAGCCUGAUGCAGCGACGCCGCGUGAGGGAUGACGGCCUUCGGGUUGUAGACCUCUUUCAGCACCGACGAAGCGCAAGUGACGGUAGGUGCAGAAGAAGGACCGGCCAACUACGUGCCAGCAGCCGCAGUAA
rnacentral:rRNA from 1 species